rnacentral:rRNA from 1 species
CCCUUAGAUGUUCUGGGCUGCACGCGCGCUACACUGAAGCGUUCAACGAGUAUUCACCUUGCCCGGGAGGGUUGGGUAAUCUUUUGAAAACGCUUCGUGAUGGGGAUAGAUUAUUGCAAUUAUUAAUCUUCAACGAGGAAUUCCUAGUAAGCGCGAGUCAUCAGCUCGUGCUGAUUACGUCCCUGCCCUUUGUACACACCGCCCGUCGCUCCUACCGAUUGAAUGAUUUAGUGAGGACUUCGGACUGGGACCGAUGCGGCUUUCGGGCUGCGUCGGUAUUCUGGAAAGAUGUCCAAACUGUAUCAUUUAGAGGAAGUAAAAGUCGUAACA